AUGUACAUUCCUACAACAUAGCGUUAAUGCACUAGAUCCCAUUAGAACUCCAUAGUUAAGCACGCUUGGGAUAGAUUAGUAUUGGGAUGGGUGACCACCCACGCAGUCCUAGUAUUUUACAUG
rnacentral:rRNA from 1 species